GAAGGCUCAGACAUUUCAGAGGAGAGGGAUGGGAGACACGUAUUCGUAUGCAAUAGAAUCCUUCCCUCACAUGGCACAAGCUUGAACAAAAUUGCAGCCCCCAUGCAAGCUGUGUUUGUGGAGGUGCUUGAGAGUAGAGAUGAAAACCUAUCGUGUGCUUUGUCUCUUUGAGAUUGACAGCUUUUUAUAGGUGUCUGAGAAAAGCAAAUGGAUGAAAAAGCAGUUCCUGGUGGCUUCUGUCAGCUAUUGACAAUACCUAGUAAUGUGCCUUUUAUGAAACAGACCUGAUGCCUCUUGUGGAUGAUAGGAAGCUCCAGUUGCAUGAAGAUACUUCUAUGGAUCAACAUGAUAAUAUUUUAAAAGUAACUCUGUCUUUCUGUAGUAGCCAGAAGCACCCAUCUUUUUCAUACCACCUCCACCCCCCAAACCAUAAGCACCAUGAGACUUGCAAUGAAAUCCUGGGAAUGGCAAGGCUAGCACCAGAGGUGACCAUCAGUUUUGGAAUUUAAAUCCAGUAACUCUGUCUAUUAAACUUGUACUGGUUACAGAAUAAAUUCUCUAAUUGAAGUGCCA
rnacentral:lncRNA from 1 species